rnacentral:rRNA from 1 species
UACAGAGGGGGCAAGCGUUGUUCGGAAUCACUGGGCGUAAAGGGCGCGUAGGCGGCCUGGUAAGUAGGGGGUGAAAUCCUGCGGCUUAACCGCAGGGCUGCCUUCUAAACUGUCAGGCUCGAGCACGGUAGAGGCAGAUGGAAUUCCCGGUGUAGCGGUGGAAUGCGUAGAGAUCGGGAAGAACAUCAGUGGCGAAGGCGGUCUGCUGGGCCGUUGCUGACGCUGAGGCGCGACAGCGUGGGGAGCAAACAGG